rnacentral:rRNA from 1 species
UACGGCGAGUGAAGCGGCAAAAGCUCAAAUUUGAAAUCUGGUACCUUUGGUGCCCGAGUUGUAAUUUGGAGAGGGCAACUUUGGGACCGUUCCUUGUCUAUGUUCCUUGGAACAGGACGUCAUAGAGGGUGAGAAUCCCGUGUGGCGAGGAGUGCGGUUCUAUGUAAAGUGCCUUCGAAGAGUCGAGUUGUUUGGGAAUGCAGCUCUAAGUGGGUGGUAAAUUCCAUCUAAAGCUAAAUAUUGGCGAGAGACCGAUAGCGAACAAGUACAGUGAUGGAAAGAUGAAAAGAACUUUGAAAAGAGAGUGAAAAAGUACGUGAAAUUGUUGAAAGGGAAGGGCAUUUGAUCAGACAUGGUGUUUUGCGCCCUCUGCUCCUUGUGGGUGGGGGAAUCUCGCAGUUCACUGGGCCAGCAUCAGUUUUGGUGGCAGGAUAAAUCCGUAGGAAUGUAACUUGCUUCGGGAAGUAUUAUAGCCUAUGGGAAUACUGCCAGCUGGGACUGAGGACUGCGACGUAAGUCAAGGAUGCUGGCAUAAUGGUUAUAUGCCGCCCGUCUUGA